UAACACGUAGGGUCCAAGCGUUGUCCGGAUUUAUUGGGCGUAAAGAGCUCGUAGGCGGCUUGGCAAGUCGGGUGUGAAAACUCUGGGCUCAACUCAGAGACGCCACCCGAUACUGCUAUGGCUUGAGUCCGGUAGGGGAGCGUGGAAUUCCCGGUGUAGCGGUGAAAUGCGCAGAUAUCGGGAGGAACACCAGUGGCGAAGGCGGCGCUCUGGGCCGGAACUGACGCUGAGGAGCGAAAGCGUGGGGAGCGAACAGGAUUAGAUACCCUGGUAGUCCACGCCGUAAACGGUGGGCACUAGGUGUGGGGGGCCGUCAACGCCCUCUGUGCCGAAGCUAACGCAUUAAGUGCCCCGCCUGGGGAGUACGACCGCAAGGUUA
rnacentral:rRNA from 1 species